rnacentral:tRNA from 1 species
GAGAACUACAAAGUUGCUGCUAACUACUUAAUAAGCUAAAAGCUAAUUCUCA